UAAAAUGGAGUUUAACGUAAUUAAAUAGACCAAUGUUUUUUAACAUAGGAAAAUAGUUCAUUAUAAUCAACAGUUAAAUGUUGUUGUUAUUAAUUGCAAUCAGAUUUGAUUUUAUGAGGUUAAAUUAAGCAUUUCAGUUCUGGGCCAAGCCCAAGGCAUUUAACAUUUUUUUUUUAAAGUUGCAUGGAAGAUUAUAAGUAGCAGUGAUUGUCACACACACACUAGGUGUGGUGAAAUUAUUCUCUCCAUUUGACCCAUCACCCUUGAUCACUAUGCUAGUAAACCUUGUCUUAAUUUUAAACAAGACAGACUAGAGUUCUUCAAAUUGUUUAUCCUUUUUCUCAAAUACAAAUAUUUCAAGCUGAUAAGCACUGUGGAGUUGGCAUGUUACUGAUAUUGUUACAUUAGUUCUUUGUUUGAGAAGCUUCAUGUCUGCAUUGAGCCUAAAUUUAACAGUUUUUGAAGGGUUUAGUUCUUUGUUUUAUUUCUGUGUCACUGACUUUUUUCAUUUUUAUGUGUGGAUUUGUUAGGCGCAUCAACACAUGAUAUAGACAUCGUGCCCAAAAGAAGAGCGAGACGUAAUCCUGAGGCUGAAGCCACCGAGUUUAUUUGAUCUGGAUGUGACAAGUCUUGUUUUAAGGCCCAGUGGAUCAAUGAUUGGAAAGACACCAACUGUUGAUGUUCUAUCUCAACAUUCUCCAGAUUCAUGUGAGCGAUAAACCGACUUCGUCCAUCCAACAGACACCAACUGUUGGGGUUCUAUCACAACAUUCUCCAGAUUCAGAUGUGAGCGAUAAACCGACUUCAUCCCUCCAACAGAAACCAACUGUUGAGGUUCCAUCUCAACAUUCUCCGGAUUCAGAUGUGAGCCAUUAACUGAC